rnacentral:rRNA from 1 species
UACGUAGGCAGCAAGCGUUGUUCGGAGUUACUGGGCGUAAAGGGUGCGUAGGCGGCCCUGUAAGUAUGGUGUGAAAUCUCCCGGCUUAACUGGGAGGGUGCGCUAUAGACUGCGGGGCUCGAGUGUGGGAGAGGAAAGUGGAAUUCCUGGUGUAGCGGUGAAAUGCGUAGAUAUCAGGAGGAACACCGGUGGUGUAAACGGCUUUCUGGACCAUAACUGACGCUGAGGCACGAAAAGCGUGGGUAGCAAACAGG